ACGCUUUGUCUUCUUCGCGGGCGUCGCCGCCGACAGAUUGCCAUCCGUCGUCGAUGAUCACGAACUUCGGUGGGGUCCCGCCGGCAGCUAAAGACUCGAUCCCAGCUUCGACCCCUUCUUGAGUAACGUCCUGGUAAAAAGCGUCCCAGGUGCACCACCCGAAAUAGUCAACAAUCCCAGGUAAUUUUUUCUCGUGACGUUGCCGGAACGUUUUGAGAUGUAAUUUGACGGCCCUGAUUGCUUCGGUGAUUGUAGUGAAAGGGUCGGUGCCUGCGUGGAUAUAAACGGAAUGCGUAAACGACGACGCUUUGGUGUCGGCGUCGCCGCUC
rnacentral:lncRNA from 1 species